AUUGAGCGCUGGCGGCAGGCUUAACACAUGCAAGUCGAGCGGGGGAAGGUAGCUUGCUACCGGACCUAGCGGCGGACGGGUGAGUAAUGCUUAGGAAUCUGCCUAUUAGUGGGGGACAACAUCUCGAAAGGGAUGCUAAUACCGCAUACGUCCUACGGGAGAAAGCAGGGGAUCUUCGGACCUUGCGCUAAUAGAUGAGCCUAAGUCAGAUUAGCUAGUUGGUGGGGUAAAGGCCUAACAAGGCGACGAUCUGUAGCGGGUCUGAGAGGAUGAUCCGCCACACUGGGACUGAGACACGGCCCAGACUCCUACGGGAGGCAGCAGUGGGGAAUAUUGGACAAUGGGGGGAACCCUGAUCCAGCCAUGCCGCGUGUGUGAAGAAGGCCUUAUGGUUGUAAAGCACUUUAAGCGAGGAGGAGGCUACUUUAGUUAAUACCUAGAGAUAGUGGACGUUACUCGCAGAAUAAGCACCGGCUAACUCUGUGCCAGCCGCCGCGGUAA
rnacentral:rRNA from 1 species